AUGGAAAUGGGUGAAGUGUUCCUCCAGCUGUGCCAAGAGGUGGCCAGGCUGCGGGAGCUGUGCUCCAGGCAGAGCGAGCUGCUGCAGAAGUUGAGCGCCAGGAAGGGCCCUGUCCUGGACAUCCCCACAUCGCUGCCCAUCCAGUGCACGGAGGAUGCUUGGGCAGAGGGAGGGGAGCAGCCAGCAGCCAGCCCCCAGGUGCACCCUGAGGCCUCGCAUGGCUCUGCCCACCCGCUGGCCCCACUGCACGCUGCCCACGUGCUGCCCGGCUCCGGUGGUUGGUUCCCAGUGUGCAGUGACCUCGAAGCUGGAAGAGCUGCCCUCCCCGGGGCUUUUGGCAGCAGCCAGGCGGGGAGGAAGGAGAAGAUGCUGGUAGACACAUGGCUGGAGGACUGUAGGAUGGCUCCUACCACAAAUAGCCCCGAGGAAGAAGUGAGACCUUGCUGCAGCCCACAGGAGUUUGCGGCACCAAGCAGUGAGGCUGCGGACUCCUUCCUGACUAUCCUGGAUCUCUACGAAGCCCCAGAAGCCCUUCGGGGGGAGGAUGCUCCCAGCGAGAGCGCUCUGCCUGCUGCAGACAAGGUGCCAGUGGAAAUCCGAGGACCCCUGAAGGUAAAUGUGAAGGGGUCAGAUGUUUCUGUCUGCCACUUCUGUGGGCUCUUCCCAGUGUAAGGGCGCCUGCCCAUUGCCAUCAUCCUUGGGCCAUCACCAUGAUGAUGCCCAUCGCCAUCAUCAGCCCUUGUGUAACGUGGGGAGCUAUGGCAGAAGUUUGUGGUUAAGCCCUGAAACCAGUUAUCCCAUUUCAAGUGGAGUCAGGUCCAUGAAAGCCCCAUGCCAGCGUCUGGUUCGUUUUGGCAGAAACCUAGUUACCCUUCCCGUUCCCAGCUGAGGAAUCCUUGAGGCAGUCUGUAUCGACCUCCAUUGGAUUUAAGAGCUUAAGUGAGCUCUAAAUUAUUUCCUUCAGUCUCUCUGAUUUAUAUGCCCCCAAACAUUGAUUCCAAAAUACAUUCUGAGAUACGUCCCCUCUGUCCUGCUCAAUCUUCAGUGUGUGUUAUGUGUGGGACACCAACACUGGGCUGACUACUGAGGGUCCCUGGAAUGCCAAACUGGUUUCCUUUAAUUCCUUUUCCCAAACAAGACCCUUGUAAAUUAUUUCAUGGCUGUUGUGGUGAUGUAUCCAUGGGGAAAGCUAUUGAUUUUCAGCCUGGGUUAUAUUUAGAAGCUGUUUUCUUCUUAAGAAGAGGGAGAAGAAAGAAAGAAGUAGAAGCGUUGUCUGUCUGGUGAAGUCCUAAUGUGCCUUAUCAGCACUUAAAUGAUAAUGGCACAGGAGGAAAUUAAUACUGCUCUCCAGCUGGCUUCAUACAAAAGCACUUUUCUCAUGCUCUGCCCUAGGGGGAAGCAACGGGUGAUGGGAAGACCCCUGCAGGAUCCUCCAGCAGAUGUGGGGGUCUGGACACAGCUGGGGGCUUGAGGAGAGGCUGCGUCUGCGUUCCCAUUGACCCCUGUCCCUUUGCUCCCCGCAGACCUCCUGGACGCCGGGCUGGGUGCUGGAGGACUCUGUGCUUGGACCGGGCGCAGCCGCGGCCGCUCAGACAUGUGACAUUUGCCAGGAGAUCUUCCCUGCGGACACCGCAGCUCAGGCUGACUAUUUAAAGCACGUCUUAACCCAUAUGAAGUAGAGCUUUAGGACUUCAUGCUCAGGAACCCACGUAUGUGCAACUGUGAGCAGCACAGUGGGUUCCGGACCUUUAGGAGGUGCGGCUGCUGGGUCAGACCAGGCUGCUGUCCCCUUCCGUGUAACCCGGGUUGGUUCCUGCUGCCCUGCCUUGGGCCCCAGUGAGGGUUCUAGGUGUGUUUCAUCUCAUUGAGCUUCGUGGAUAUCAAAACUGCUUCUGUGCUGAGCUCCAGAUGCAUGUAGGAGGUCUGGGGAACUGCAACUUAAUGGGAAAUGGACGUUUUCCCAAAAUUCUCCGUAACUGGAAAAUGUUGAUUUUUUUUUUUCCCUGAAUAGAGAAAAAUAUUUGAAAAGCUGCAUUGUUUUUUUUCCAAGAACACGAGUGAGAGGAUCACCACGUUUUGGUGGCACUAAAUGUGAAUUUGCCUUUGGAGAGGGCGUGAGCGCUGGGGCCGCAUGCACGAUGCCCCCCGCUCUGCUGUGGUGCAAAGCUCUGAUUCCAUCACUACGAGGGGCAGAACUGAGACCUCUCCUCGCUCCUCAUUAAAACCUCAUCAGCUCCAGCUCUUUAGCUCCUGGGAGUUUAAUUGGUCGCUAUCCAGGUGGGAAGAGGCUGCUCAGGGCCCAUAGGUGAGGGAUGGGCUGCUGGGUGUAGGGAAGGGUGGAGUGGCAAGGAGUUCCUGCAGUGCAGCAAUGAGGUGGGCACAUGGGGUGUUAUCCUGCCAUAUCCCUUCUAUUUGGGGUGCUAUCUGUGCUCUCAGAAUGAAGAUUGCACUCCUUCAUUAGCAGCAGAUGUGAUGUUGUUGUUCCAUAACGUUUUCUGUCAAUAGAUAUCCAUGUGCUUUGCAAAGGAGUUCACCUGGAAACAAAAGAGCAAAAUGCUGGUUAGCUCCAAAUCGUUUUGUUUUGCUUCCUUUGGAAAAACCUAAUCUCAGGCCUUUAUGUUCAACAUGUAGCUCUGAAGCAGAUCUGGCAUCGCAUCUUUGAGGCAACUUGCAUUUAAAUCAACGGCCGACGUCUCUGCUUCCAUGGAUGGAGAUUAAUUCCAGUCUCCAGCUCCAGAAUCUCAUCUUUAGCAGCACAGAUAAUAGCAAAGACUCGAGGCUCUUCCCAGAAGUGUAGCUGCAUUAUGAAGCUGCUGUGACCGCAGCGGAGCUGAUGACAAACAUCUGUGUGUCCCGAGGAACUCGUCCUUCAGAUGGGCAGGGACUGAUGUGCAUGGGGCAGAACCGGCUCCUGGCAAUUUGGGAUUUGCAGACUUGGGGUUUGCAGCCACUUCUCUGGGGACCUUUUUCCAGGAUGGAGCCCUCAGCUCUCUUGCUUAGAGCCACAGCUCUGGGCUCAGUUCCUUCCAUGCAGAUUCUGGAGCUGCUCCUUGGCCUCAGCACAAUUAGGACCUUGACUUGGUGGGGGUCAAAGUGGGAAUUCUUACAUCACAGUGCAGAACCCCCGUUGGCAUCUCCAACAGCUCCAAGCUGCCUCCUGUGGCUCUCCAAUUUAAUUAGGCAGUGGCAUCAUUGUAUAGUGUUUUGUGCUGUUCUGUAGGGCCUGGAAGAAAGUAUCUGUUCACAGCUUGCAGAAUUACUAGAAGCACCAGCUCUGACAGCGCUCUGCAUCAAGAAGGGCCGUAAAUUCAUUUGGCAUAAAAUUGUAACAGCUAUCCAGAAUUUGCCAGAAGGAAGAAAACCAACCCGGUUCCUCCUGCUCUGAGAGCAAGUCCAAUAAAUUUAAUUUAAAAAUUGUGAGCA
ensembl:lncRNA uncharacterized LOC110389202